GAUUUUUCAGAUGUAAUCGCCGCA
rnacentral:siRNA from 1 species